GCCCGGAAGAAGAAGGAUAGCCUAUUCUACACUGUCACUGCUCGCUGUAGAGUUUCCUUUAUCGUGUGUGUGUGUUGAAGAGAAAGUCAGUGGAGGAGAUCAAACUCAUCAGUUUCUUCAUCAUGGCUGAUUCACAAGCAUCCAGAGAUGGAGAUUUCUCUCCAGGACACAGUUCAGUCCAGCAGAAGAGCUCAAACCCAGAGUCCAGCUGUGUGUCUGUGAAGAGUGACUGGUCUAUGAAUGAACCACUAAAGUUUAACAGUGGAGACACACGGCCUAAUC